rnacentral:lncRNA from 1 species
UCUUUUCGAGUCCGCGCUUUUCGUCGCCGCCAUGUCAGGAGGUGGUGUGAUUCGUGGCCCGGCAGGGAACAACGACUGCCGCAUCUACGUGGGUAACCUACCUCCAGACAUCCGAACCAAGGACAUUGAGGACGUGUUUUACAAAUACGGCGCUAUCCGCGACAUCGACCUGAAGAACCGCCGCGGGGGACCGCCCUUCGCCUUCGUUGAGUUCGAGGACCCGCGAGACGCGGAAGAUGCGGUGUACGGUCGCGACGGCUACGAUUACGACGGCUACCGUCUGCGGGUAGAGUUUCCCCGAAGCGGCCGUGGGACCGGCCGAGGCGGCGGCGGGGGUGGAGGCGGCGGAGCCCCGAGAGGCCGCUAUGGCCCGCCAUCCAGGCGGUCUGAAAACAGAGUGGUUGUUUCUGGUGAGUUGACUUCGUGCGGGUUAAAAUUUUUCCCGCGUGAUUGUUUUGAGGUCUGCAAGUUUUCUGUUUUGCUUUAAACAUGGGGUCUUAAACUACUUCGGUCUUUCGGGUGAAUUUAGUAAAUGAAGAUUACUGUGGUGGUGAUUUACCCAAAUUAGGUUGCAGUACUAGCCUAUGAAGAUCCUUUACAAAUAAAUUUGGACUCUGGAUCUGACUCUUACCAGCUCUUUACCUGGAAACACUUAAGUACAAUCAUUAAGUAUUU